rfam:Bacillus smithii strain DSM 4216, complete genome.
AAAUUUCAAAAUGCAUUCACUCAUAUAAUGGCAAGAAUAUGGCUUGCCAGUCUCUACCGGACUGCCGUAAACAGUCUGACUAUGAGUGAGCAAUGAGGCGGA